GACUCUUUCGAGGCCCCGUAAUUGGAAUGAGUACACUUUAAACCCUUUAACGAGGAUCUAUUGGAGGGCAAGUCUGGUGCCAGCAGCCGCGGUAAUUCCAGCUCCAAUAGCGUAUAUUAAAGUUGUUGCAGUUAAAAAGCUCGUAGUUGGAUCUCGGGUCCAGGCUGGCGGUCCGGCGCAUGCCGGUUACUGCUUGUCCUGACCUACCUCCCGGUCGCGCCCUUGGUGCUCUUGAUUGAGUGUCUCGGGUCGCCGGAACGUUUACUUUGAAAAAAUUAGAGUGUUCAAAGCAGGCAAUUCGCCUGAAUAAUGGUGCAUGGAAUAAUGGAAUAGGACCUCGGUUCUAUUUUGCUGGUUUUCGGAGCUCGAGGUAAUGAUUAAGAGGGACUGACGGGGGCAUUCGUAUUACGGUGUUAGAGGUGAAAUUCUUGGAUCGCCGUAAGACGAACCGCUGCGAAAGCGUUUGCCAAGAAUGUUUUCAUUAGUCAAGAACGAAAGUCAGAGGUUCGAAGACGAUCAGAUACCGUCGUAGUUCUGACCAUAAACGAUGCCAACUAGCGAUCCGCCGGAGUUGCUUCAAUGACUCGGCGGGCAGCCCCCGGGAAACCAAAGUUUUUGGGUUCCGGGGGAAGUAUGGUUGCAAAGCUGAAA
rnacentral:rRNA from 1 species